rnacentral:rRNA from 1 species
AUUGAACGCUGGCGGCAGGCCUAACACAUGCAAGUCGAGCGGAUGAAGGGAGCUUGCUCCUGGAUUCAGCGGCGGACGGGUGAGUAAUGCCUAGGAAUCUGCCUGGUAGUGGGGGAUAACGUCCGGAAACGGGCGCUAAUACCGCAUACGUCCUGAGGGAGAAAGUGGGGGAUCUUCGGACCUCACACUAUCAGAUGAGCCUAGGUCGGAUUAGCUAGUUGGUGGGGUAAAGGCCUACCAAGGCGACGAUCCGUAACUGGUCUGAGAGGAUGAUCAGUCACACUGGAACUGAGACACGGUCCAGACUCCUACGGGAGGCAGCAGUGGGGAAUAUUGGACAAUGGGCGAAAGCCUGAUCCAGCCAUGCCGCGUGUGUGAAGAAGGUCUUCGGAUUGUAAAGCACUUUAAGUUGGGAGGAAGGGCAGUAAGUUAAUACCUUGCUGUAUUGACGUUACCAACAGAAUAAGCACCGGCUAACUUCGUG